rnacentral:rRNA from 1 species
GCAGUCGACGGCAGCACGGGAGCAAUCCUGGUGGCGAGUGGCGAACGGGUGAGUAAUAUAUCGGAACGUGCCCAGUCGUGGGGGAUAACGUAGCGAAAGCUACGCUAAUACCGCAUACGAUCUACGGAUGAAAGCGGGGGACUCGCAAGAGCCUCGCGCGAUUGGAGCGGCCGAUAUCAGAUUAGGUUGUUGGUGAGGUAAAAGCUCACCAAGCCUGCGAUCUGUAGCUGGUCUGAGAGGACGACCAGCCACACUGGAACUGAGACACGGCCCAGACUCCUACGGGAGGCAGCAGUGGGGAAUUUUGGACAAUGGGCGCAAGCCUGAUCCAGCCAUGCCGCGUGCGGGAAGAAGGCCUUCGGGUUGUAAACCGCUUUUGUCAGGGAAGAAAUCCUUUGAGCUAAUACCUCGGAGGGAUGACGGUACCUGAAGAAUAAGCACCGGCUAACUACGUGCCAGCAGCCGCGGUAAUACGUAGGGUGCGAGCGUUGUCCGGAAUUAUUGGGCGUAAAGAGCUUGUAGGCGGUUUGUCGCGUCUGCCGUGAAAAUCCGGGGCUCAACCCCGAACUUGCAGUGGAUACGGGCAGACUAGAGUGUGGUAGGGGAGACUGGAAUUCCUGGUGUAGCGGUGAAAUGCGCAGAUAUCGGGAGGAAUACCGAUGGCGAAGGCAGGUCUCUGGGCUGACACUGACGCUCAUGCACGAAAGCGUGGGGAGCAAACAGGAUUAGAUACCCUGGUAGAAUCACUAGUGAAUUC